rnacentral:rRNA from 1 species
UACGUAGGGUGCGAGCGUUAAUCGGAAUUACUGGGCGUAAAGCGUGCGCAGGCGGUUAUAUAAGACAGAUGUGAAAUCCCCGGGCUUAACCUGGGAACUGCGUUUGUGACUGUAUAACUGGAGUACGGUAGAGGGGGGUGGAAUUCCUGGUGUAGCAGUGAAAUGCGUAGAUAUCAGGAGGAACAUCGAUGGCGAAGGCAGCCCCCCCGGACCUGUACUGACGCCCAUGCACGAAAGCGUGGGGAGCAAACAGG